rnacentral:lncRNA from 1 species
AGAAGAAAACACUACAACAAGCAACUCAAGCGUUGUAAUUCUCUCUUAGUGCAAUACAAGUUUCUCAUUUGGCUCCAUUGCUUUCUUCUCUAGUUCGAGAAGCUCUAGGCUUACUUAGCAACCUUUGGCAAAGUUGUCUCUUAGUGCAAUACAAGUUUCUCAUUUGGCUCCAUUGCUUUCUUCUCUAGUUCGAGAAGCUCUACGCUCUUAGCAACCUUUGGCAAAGUUGUCUAAGUGCCGCACGGGUUAGCUGCGCAAAAUACUCAUCCCGUGACAGGUGGUACCAGAGCCAAGUUUU